AGAGUUUGAUCAUGGCUCAGGACGAACGCUGGCGGCGUGCUUAACACAUGCAAGUCGAGCGAUGAAACACCUUCGGGUGUGAAUUAGCGGCGAACGGGUGAGGAACACGUGAAGAAUCUGCCUUCAACUCUGGGAUAACUCCGGGAAACCGGGGCUAAUACCGGAUAUGAGCCUCGAUCGCAUGAUUGGGGCUGGAAAGUUUUUCGGUUGAAGAUGACUUCGCGGCCUAUCAGCUUGUUGGUGAGGUAAUGGCUCACCAAGGCGACGACGGGUAGCCGGCCUGAGAGGGCGACCGGCCACACUGGGACUGAGACACGGCCCAGACUCCUACGGGAGGCAGCAGUGGGGAAUAUUGGGCAAUGGAGGAAACUCUGACCCAGCGACGCCGCGUGAGGGAUGAAGGCCUUCGGGUUGUAAACCUCUUUCAGUAGGGAAGAAGCGAAAGUGACGGUACCUACAGAAGAAGCACCGGCUAACUAUGUGCCAGCAGCCGCGGUAAUACAUAGGGUGCAAGCGUUGUCCGGAAUUAUUGGGCGUAAAGAGCUCGUAGGUGGUUCGAUACGUCGGAUGUGAAAAUCAGGGGCUCAACCCCUGACCUGCAUCCGAUACGGUCGAGCUAGAGUUUGGUAGGGGAGACUGGAAUUCCUGGUGUAGCGGUGGAAUGCGCAGAUAUCAGGAGGAACACCGAUGGCGAAAGGCAGGUCUCUGGGCCAAUACUGACACUGAGGAGCGAAAGCGUGGGGAGCGAACAGGAUUAGAUACCCUGGUAGUCCACGCCGUAAACCGGUGGGGCGCUAGUUGUGCGAACCUUCCACGGCUUGUGCGACGCAGCUAACGCAUUAGCGCCCCCGCCUGGGGAGUACGAUCGCAAGAUUAAACUCAANGAAUUGACCGGGGCCCCGCACAAGCAGCGGAGCAUGC
rnacentral:rRNA from 1 species